GAUGAAGAACGCAGCGAAAUGCGAUAAGUAAUGUGAAUUGCAGAAUUCAGUGAAUCAUCGAAUCUUUGAACGCACAUUGCGCCCGCCAGUAUUCUGGCGGGCAUGCCUGUCCGAGCGUCAUUUCAACCCUCGAACCCCUCCGGGGGGUCGGCGUUGGGGACCUCGGGAGCCCCUAAGACGGGAUCCCGGCCCCGAAAUACAGUGGCGGUCUCGCCGCAGCCUCUCCUGCGCAGUAGUUUGCACAACUCGCACCGGGAGCGCGGCGCGUCCACGUCCGUAAAACACCCAACUUCUGAAAUGUUGACCUCGGAUCAGGUAGGAAUACCCGCUGAACUUAAGCAUAUCAAUAAGGAGGA
rnacentral:misc_RNA from 1 species